ACAGUAACUCAGUUUGGUAGAGUAAUAGACUUAUAAUCUAUGGGCCGGUGGUUCGAAUCCACCCAAUUUUCUA
rnacentral:tRNA from 1 species